GUUUUUCUUUGAUUUUCAUGCCUCCGAACUCACCAAGGUUUUAAUGGUAUUUCGGGGACUACUUGGAUUAAAACCUUAUCGGUGUUAGUUUUGUCAGAUUUGGAGGCAGUUGGGACCUAGAUUGAAUGUCCACGUAUGCUCAUCUUCUUGGUAGCUACUAUGGCAUCUCAGUAGCGGUACCUUCACUUAAAGUCACUCCACUGACGGUUGAGAGUAUUUUGUCUGUGUACACGUAUAUGUAAUGUAAACUACUCAGAGUCAUGUUAUAAAUGAAGUAUGUAAAUGUUGGA